GACGUUUGGUCACUGGGAGCUGCCACCAGCCUGUGUUUUUUUGCAGGUCGCACCAAGUGUGAAAGAACACUGCAGCACUCGAGGAGAGAAUUAACUCGUAGCUAUCAGACAGCUCGUGUCGCGAAGCGGAAAUUACAGCCAUUUAUGUGAUUUCAGGCUAAUUUCUGCCAGUACUUGUUCUGGGCUGCUACUGCUGGCUUCCAAAGAUCUCCCGUUCUGGACUGAUUACGCAAAAGCAGCCCCUGAUUGCAGGCACAAGGAAGUUUCCCGUGUGAUGCCCCCAUCUUGGAGCCCUGGUGGAGCCCAGGUGUGCCACAGAGGUCCAACCAACAGAGCGGAAGUGACAGAGAAUCUGCCGUCUCCUCGGGUACGUUGUCCGGUGGUUAAUUAAUUGCCUUAGCUGUUCUGCACCAAGACCUACUCUACUUCUCUGUAGAAAUGCCUUUGGUU
rnacentral:lncRNA from 1 species